CUGCUGCCUUCCGUAGGAGUUUGGGCCGUGUCUCAGUCCCAAUGUGGCCGUCCACCCUCUCAGGCCGGCUACUGAUCGUCGCCUUGGUGGGCCGUUACCCCGCCAACAAGCUAAUCAGACGCGGGUCCAUCUUAUACCACCGGAGUUUUUCACACUGGGCCAUGCAGCCCCGUGCGU
rnacentral:rRNA from 1 species